rnacentral:misc_RNA from 1 species
GAUGAAGAACGUAGCGAAAUGCGAUAAGUAAUGUGAAUUGCAGAAUUCAGUGAAUCAUCGAAUCUUUGAACGCACAUUGCGCCCAUUAGUAUUCUAGUGGGCAUGCCUGUUCGAGCGUCAUUAAGUCCACUUAAGCCCUGCUUAGUGUUGGGAGACUGCUCCAGCGGUGCUACCCUGUAGCUACCCUGCAGCUCCUCAAAGACAGCGGCGGAGUUGUGGUAUCCUCUGAGCUUAGUAACUUGUUCUAGCUUUCGAGUACACCACUUCCCCUGCCGUAAAACCCUUAAUUUUUAAUGGUUGACCUCGGAUCAGGUAGGAAUACCCGCUGAACUUAAGCAUAUCAAUAACGGAGGA